rnacentral:rRNA from 1 species
CGCGGUAUCCUAACCGUGCAAAGGUAGCAUAAUCAUUUGUCUAUUAAUUGUAGACUUGUAUGAAAGGCACUAUGAGAGCCCAACUGUCUCUUAUAACGAAUCAAUUAAACUGAUCUCCCAGUACAAAAGCUGGAAUUCCCCUAUAAGACCAGAAGACCCUGUGAAGCUUUAACUAAACUAUUAUUCUUAAUAAUAACUAAUUUCGGUUGGGACGACCUUGGAACAAAAAAGAACUUCCAAAGAUGAGAC